ensembl:lncRNA novel transcript
GUGACUUCGCAGGAGACCGCCACUCACGCGGAGCCAAUCGGAACUCGCGGCGGGGUUGCUGGGUCUUCCAGGAUCGCGCAUUAGCGGACGCUGGCUACGGGUGGCCGGGCGGGAUGUAACCGGCUGCUGAGCUGGCAGUUCUGUGUCCCCAGGCUUCGGCCCGGCCGCCGCCGCACAUAAACUGCGAGGAGGAGCUUUACGACUUCUCGGUCUUCGGGGCCGGGCGCAGCAAGGGCCAGACUCUGCGCUAGCAGGCGCUGCGCGCCAACCGGCCGGCCCCUGUCGCAGAAGGUGCAACCGAUCGCACUGUCGCGCAGAAGCUCCUCAAUGGCCAGCGCCAGCUGCAGCCCCGGCUGCCCACUCGCCUCACCUGAGCCUGGGUGGAACAAUCCAAAGUUUUAAUCAAAGAAGGUGGUAUUCAGUUGCUGCUUACAAUAGUUGAUACCCCAGGAUUUGGAGAUGCAGUGGAUAAUAGUAAUUGCUGGCAGCCUGUUAUCAAUUACAUUGAUAGUAAAUUUGAGGACUACCUAAAUGCAGAAUCGCAAGUGAACAGAUGUCAGAUGCCUGGUAACAGGGUGCACUGUUGUUUAUACUUCAUUGCUCCUUCAGGACAUGGACCGUUACAUAACUGAAGACUCCCACCUUCAGGCAGGAUUGGGUAGUACAUGUUUGUAACUACCUGGCAUUGCCUUUUGUUGAGACUUAAACCAUUGGAUAUUGAGUUUACAAAGCAUUUGCAUGAAAAAGUGAAUAUCAUCCCACUUAUUGCCAAAGCAGACACACUCAUGCCAGAGGAAUGCCAACAGUUUAAAAAACAGAUAAAGAAAUCCAAGAACAUAAAGUUAAAAUAUAUGAAUUUCCAGAAACAGAUGAUGAAGAAGAAAAAAAACUUGUUAAAAAGAUAAAGGACCAUUUACCUCUUGCUGUGGUGGGUAGUAAUACUAUCAUUGAAGUUAAUGGCAAAAGGGUCAUAGGAAGGCAGUAUCCUUGGAGUGUUGCUGAAGUUGAAAAUGGUGAACAUUGUGAUUUUACAGUUUUAAGAAAUAUGUUGAUAAGAACACACGCAGGACUUGAAAGAUGUUACUAAUAAUGUCCACUACGAGAACUAUGGAAUCAGAAAACUGGCAGCUGUGACUUAUCAUGGAGUUGAUAACAAGAAGAAUAAAGGGCAGCUCACUAAGAGCCCUCUGGCACAAAUGGAAGAAGAAAGAAGGGAGCAAGUAGCUAAAAUUAAGAAGAUGGAGAUGGAGAUGGAGCAGGUGUUUGAGAUGAAGGUCAAAGAAAAAGUUCAAAAACUGAAGGACUCUGAAGCUGAGCACACACAUGCCCUCUUGGUUCUGUUUCUUUGAAGAACCCCAGGAAAACACACAAAGGAAAAACAACUCGAUAGACAGAAGAUUCUUCAAUGACAACAAUGGAAGCCAUCUUCACCAUUCAACUAAACUUGAAUGGGAUAUUAUCAAACUUAAAAAAAAAUUAUCAACUGAUCGUGUAAUCAGUUUCAUCUUUUAAGACAGGAAAUGAAAUAAAGUAUUUACAGAUGAAUGUAAAAUGAACUUA